UCACCCUAACUGAUGCUGAGAAGCAACUAUUUGAUGUGUGUGGUCUAAACUUUGAAAUUGAAGUUGAUUGCACUGACAGUCAGCCUGAUAACUUUCAGGUUUUUGGCACUCAAUUGCCAAAGACACAAAGUAUGCAUCAAAGUACUGGAGGUGAUUUCGAACCUACCAAUGCUGAGGUAAUGAAGGAGUUACAAGGUUUGAAGCUUUUUGUAGAGACCAAGUUUGAGUAGGUACUUGCAGCUAUUGGUAGACAGUCAAUGAAACCAGAGGAAAAUUCAGUGCACAAGUAACAGGAUAAUGAUCCUUACUUUGGUGAGAUUCAUAAUGAUUAUGACCAGUUUGAAAGGGGCGAUGGUGGGAAUGAUCCUGUAGUUAUUGGAGAUAGCACGCCCAAAGCACUUUCUAUAUCUAGUUUUGGUUGGGUUGGUCGAGAGGAUCGUGCCAGUGGUGUCAAUAUGAAGAACGUCACAACAAGACAUGGCGUAGUUAAUGAUGAUUUGCGUUCUGG